CAAUAGCGUAUAUUAAAGUUGUUGCAGUUAAAAGCUCGUAGUUGGAUUUCUGGGAGGGUGCCGCCGUCCGGCGUGUCCGUGUGCAGUGGCGCCCUUCCAUCCUUCUGUUAGCGUCUCUUGGCAUUCAUUUGCUGGUGGCGGGCUCAGAUAUUUUACCUUGAGAAAAUUAGAGUGUUUCAGGCAGGCUAGGCCGGAAUACAUUAGCAUGGAAUAAUGGAAUAGGACUACGGUCUCUUUGUUGGUUUGAGGGACUGCAGUAAUGAUUAAUAGGGAUAGUUGGGGGCAUUAGUAUUUAAUUGUCAGAGGUGGAAUUCUCAGAUUUGUUAAAGACUAACUUAUGCGAAAGCAUUUGCCAAGGAUGUUUUCAUUAA
rnacentral:rRNA from 1 species